UCAGGAUGAACGCUGGCGGCGUGCCUAACACAUGCAAGUCGAACGAAGCACUUCUGGUUGAGAUUCGUCAAGAAUUGGAUUGACUUAGUGGCGGACGGGUGAGUAAUGUAUGAGCAACCUGCCUUUCAGAGGGGGACAACAGUUGGAAACGACUGCUAAUACCGCAUAACGUAUUUUAGGGGCAUCCCUGGGAUACCAAAGGAGCAAUCCGCUGAAAGAUGGGCUCAUAUCUGAUUAGUUAGUUGGCAGGGUAACGGCCUACCAAGACUGCGAUCAGUAGCCGGACUGAGAGGUUGAACGGCCACAUUGGGACUGAGAUACGGCCCAGACUCCUACGGGAGGCAGCAGUGGGGAAUAUUGGGCAAUGGGCGAAAGCCUGACCCAAGCAACGCCGCGUGAAGGAAGAAGGUCUUCGGAUUGUAAACUUCUUUUAUGAGGGACGAAGGACGUGACGGUACCUCAUGAAUAAGCCACGGCUAACUACGUGCCAGCAGCAGC
rnacentral:rRNA from 1 species